CCCUUAGAUGUUCUGGGCUGCACGCGCGCUACACUGAUGUGUUCAUCGGGUUCGACCUUGCCCGGGAGGGUUGGGUAAUCCUUUCAAAACACAUCGUGAUGGGGAUAGAUUAUUGCAAUUAUGGGUCUUCAACGAGGAAUUCCUAGUAAACGCAAGUCAUCAGCUUGCAUUGAUUACGUCCCUGCCCUUUGUACACACCGCCCGUCGCACCUACCGAUUGAAUGGUCCGGUGAAAUCUCGGGACGGCGGCUUGGUCGCUUGCGUCCGACUGCUGAAACUUGAUUAAACCAUAUCAUUUAGAGGAAGGUGAAGUCGUAACA
rnacentral:rRNA from 1 species